rnacentral:lncRNA from 10 species
CGGAAGGGGCGGCGGAGCACCGAUCUCAUGGAUGGGCUCCGAGGGGCUUGCGGGAGGGGGGCGCCAGUGUUCGGGGCCGUUUUGGCGGCUAUGCAGGAUUGGCAGGAGCUGCGAUGCUCACACUUGCCUCGCCGACCGCCAUUUCACAUCCAGCAGAGGAGGCGGGGGCAGCCGCUGAGACGGUUUUUCACAAGGCUUUCUCCAUAUUUACGUGCUUGUAACUCUGGCAUGACCUUUGCUCCAGUCUCUACCAGAGGGCGGUGCCUGGAUUGAAGUGGAAAAGCCCUGUUUUCCAGCCAUGACCCAGGGAGCAAGCACUGACUCCUCAGGGGAACAGGAGACCUGCCAACUAGGACCCUGGGAGCCCCCAUGCUGGCAGUGCCCUGGGUCAUCUCAGGCUCAUCAGCAAAUCCUGGGGGGAGAGCGGGGCUGGAGGGCGAAGAAGCCCAGGAGAGUUCCUGGCUCAGAACCCCUCUCUGAGGCUCCCAAUACAGAGCCCAGGCCCCACACCCAGGGCCUCUGAGUAUUUUUGUUUAUUGUAUGUAAAAUACUAGUGUAUUUUUGUUUAAGUCUCACAGGUAAACAGGUUCUCUCAUACUUUGCCAAGGGAAAUGUGAUCUGUGCAAUUUGGCAAUAACUAUCAGAAUUUUAAAAGCUUAUGCCCUUUGACCUAGUAAUUUCACUUCUAAGAAUUUCCCCUGCAGAGAUAUGUAUAUCUUGUAUGAAAUGAAGAGGCUACGAAGACAGGCAACGCCGCAGUGUUUAUAAUAGCGAAGACCAGACACAACCCACAUGUCUAAAGGUUCUGAUUUUUAAAACUGUAGUAUAUCUGUACAAUGAGCACUCCACAUCCUUUAAGAAUGAGGAAGGGCUGUGUGAACUGAAAUGGAACUAUCUCUAAGAUUUAUUAAGUUAAAAAAAUUCAAGAGUAGCACAGUGUGUAGGGUAUGCCAUCAUUUGUAUGAUAUAAGGUCGUAUAUCUGCCAUCUCAAAUGAGGAACAGUGGUUGCCUCUGGGAAGGGAAUUGGAUGGCUAGGAAUGGGGUAGGAAAGAGGUUUGCUUUUCAGAACAUUUUAUACUAUUUAAGUUUUGUAACAAGUGCAUCUAUUUUGACUUAAAAGAUAAAAAAUGAAAAGGAAAGGCUCCACUAGUGAUUCUGAUGCUCACAAAGAUUAAGAACCAAUGCGAAUGAGGAACUCAUGACACCGCCCAGGAGACAGUGAACAUAUCUCUUCAAAUAUCAAAAACCUUUCAGCAGAGGGUGAGAACAUGUGCCUGGGGUAAGCAUGGGUGGGCAUGAGCUGGGUACAGAGGUGAUUCCCAGGGACAUACAACUACCUUGCCCUCCUGGGAUCAGGUCUUCCUCCCACCUUAGCCUCCCAUAUUGUUGGGACCACAGGCAUGCACCACCACACCUGGUUAAUUUUUUUUUUUUUUUUUUUUUUGUAGCGACAGAGUCUCGCCAUGUUGCCUAGGCUGGUCUCGAACUCCUGGGCUCAGGCAAUCCUUCUGCCUCGUCCUUCCAAAGUGCUGAGAUUACAGGCAUGAGCCACUGCACCCAGCCUGACAGUAGCUUUUAAUCUCUGGACUCUCAUCACCGUUUGGACUGUGAGCUGUGGUUCUAGCUCUUGGAUCUGAUGGGCAUCUUCCCUCAAAUAUGUCAGUUUCUCUCUCCAGGUCCCUUGCUUUGUCUUCCUUUUUGCCUCCUCGGGCCUGAUACCUUUCUCUGGGCUUCUCUACUCUGCCCCGAGCUGCCUAGUUUUGCGAAUAAUGUCACAUCCAGAUGUCAGCAGCCCUGAUGUCCAUGUGACAAUGCUCCCUUGCUGUCCAUGUGACAAUGCUCCCUUGGUGUCCCAGUGACAGAUUUUCCCAUGCUUCACCCUCUCUCUUUUUUAAUUUUUUUUUCUGUACACAGCUCUCAGUCAAGCCCCUUGAGCUGCCUCCAACUGUUUGCUCAUGUCUGUUCCCAGCAAUCUUUUCCUCUUUUAGCACAAUCUUCCUUAACUUACUAGUUUUUUGAAACAGAGCCUAUUAGUCUUCACAGCGCUACCUUUCUGAUCUCAGAGUUCACCAAAAAGCUUUUCCUCCCAUCAUGCCUGCCUCCCUUUCUUCAGGUCCGUUAGAGUCCACCGUGGCCUGUGUGGGAAGCAAGUCUCUCCCAGGGCACACAUGAACAGACUUCAUGCCCACAUCCACAGUGAACAGUGGCUUCUGCCUUCCAGAUGGGCUUACCCUAAAUCAACACAUAUUCCUAGGAUGUGGGAACAUAUGCAAUACUUAAAUGCACAGGCUCUGGGUUCAGACUCCCUAGGGUUAAAUUCUCCCUGUGCCGGCUAGCUGCAUGAUUAGAUUUGUGAUCUUGACAAAGUUACCUAACGUCUCUGGGCCUCACUUUUCUCAUCUGCAAAAUAGGGAAAAUAGCAACACUUCUCCAUAGGGGUGUGGUGAGGAUAAAGAGUAGAUGUAAAUAAAGUGUUGAAUGUAGAGCCUGGCACAUAUCAAGCUCUUAAAAAGCAAUGGCCAUUUUGUUAUUUUUACCGCAACGACAACUGCAGUUAUUAUCUGGCUUCAGAGCUCUCUUUUUAAAAACAGUAUUCCCUGGUUUUACACCCAGGUGCUAAUACUAUUCUAUGAAGCUAAUGUAUAGAGACCAUAUCUUUUUAACAAACGUGUAUAUAUGAGUCAUUUCCGGCACAUUUGAUACACAUCAUCUCGUUUGGUCCUUAAAACAAGCCUAGGCCAUAAGCAGGGUACGUGUUACCACUUUGCCAUUCCUGUUUUACAGAGGCUUAGACACAUUGAGAAGCUUUUCCAUAGUCACUUAACAAGUGAUGGGUGAAGCCAAAUCAAGCCUUUAGAUCUCCAAGCUCUUUCCAUUAAACCAUAUAAAUCACGGGUUGGCAAACUUUUUCUGCAAAGGGGACAGAUAGUAAAUAGUUUAAGCCUUAUGGGCCACAUGCUGUGUCUGUUUCAUAUUCUGCUCCUUUUUUAUUUUUAUUUUUUUUAAGAAAAGACACCCUUUAAACAUAUAAAAACCAUUCUGAGCAACAGGCUGGUGCUAAAAACAGGUCAUGGUAACCAUUGGCUCUAGGGUUGUAGUUUACUGUUGAUAUAGAUUGUACACUGAUAAGCCAAAAUACAAACCUAAUGAAACUGACAUACUUAAGGAACUUUACUCUUUGUUAGCAAUCAUUGUUAAUAUUUAUUGAAUGGUGACUACGUGGGAAAUGCUGUUCCAAGUGUGAUAGAUAUAUUAACUUACUUAAUCCUCACACCCACUCUAAUUUCCUAAGUACUAUUGUCAGACUCAUUUUACAGACAGGAAAAGCAAGGCAUAGAGAAGGUAAGUAACUUUUCCGAGGUCACAUGGCUAUUAAGUAGCAGAGCUGUGAUUCAAAUAUAAGCGGUUUGGCACCAGAUCCUGUGCACUUAACCGCUUGCAUCUCGGUUGGGAGCACUGACUGGUUCAGCUAUUGGGAGGGAAGAAAGGGGAUGGGGAAGCCACAUAACCCCUAGGAGAUUCUGUAAUAAAUAUGCUUCAGAGCCAUUCACCUUGAAGCUGAGGAGGCAUGGAAGCAGGCCACCUGUGUUCUGUACAGCAUCACCAGGCUGGAAAUCUGCCAUGGCUUUCCUUCACGCCAUCACAAGAGGAUACAGAUGAGGCUGCAGAGGCAUCUUGAUUUGAGAAAAGCAUUUGACUGGAUCUCAUUAAAUUUUAAUCAUUAACUGAAUUCAAAAUAAAUUGAAAACUGGUUGACAGAGCACCAACAAAGGGUGAUGAUAAAUGGUGAUGCAUCUAGAGGGGAGCUAUCUUCCAGGGGACAACUCUAAGGCAAGGACGGAUGGGAUUUAAUGAAGGUGUUAUGUCCCCAGAAGAAGACAAAUAGCACAGCAAGGAACAGAGGAAGGACAGGAGUGAGCAGCCUGAGUAAUUAAUAAACCAUAUUAACAGCUCCUCCAUAAUCAGGCCUUGGUGAUCACAACUGCUUGGAUUUUUUCUUAAGCUUUCUUUGAGUCAGGAAUAGGUUUGAAGCGUCCUAGAGACACACAGCAUGAAUAUUUCAGGUGGACAUUAAAAAGAAAUCUAUAAAUUUACAGCUGGGAGGAUCCUGAGAUCUACUUCGGAUCAGAAACUUUCAAUUACAAGAUUCCCAAGGCCUUACUUCAUUCCCCAGAGAGUAAUCUUUUUAAUAAAUGUCCAAAAGUCAUGGAUUUAAAAAAAAAUCUUUAAACUCAUUAAUGUCCUUUGUUUCCUGCCCAAAUGCAUGCAAACUUUCAUAACACUGGUUUGCUGAGUGGAAGGUUGGUUUUGAGUGAACUGUUUGGCUCAGAUUCAAACUCCAAUGAACAAAUACUUCCAAGUUUACUUGCUGAAUUUCCCAUACAGAGAAGUUCUUCCACUGGGCUUGCCAGAGGAUUUGAAACAGUGGUGAGCCCUGGAAGGAAGGGAAUAUUUACUGGCCCUUGGACAUAAACCCAGCACAGUAAGACUCACAUCAGGCUGAAGGCAGUGCAGUAUGAACCGACCUGAUUUGAGGAAGUUUGCUCUGGGACUCCUCUGAGCUACUAAAUGAGGAGGAGAAGGACUAAUGGGAACACACUGACUCCAUCACAUUAGAAGUUAUAAUAAACAUUUAGAGAACAACCUCAA